GCGAACGGGUGAGUAAUACGUGAGUAACCUGCCCUUGACUCUGGGAUAAGCCUGGGAAACUGGGUCUAAUACUGGAUACUACCUCUUACCGCAUGGUGGGUGGUGGAAAGGGUUUUACUGGUUUUGGAUGGGCUCACGGCCUAUCAGCUUGUUGGUGGGGUAAUGGCUCACCAAGGCGACGACGGGUAGCCGGCCUGAGAGGGUGACCGGCCACACUGGGACUGAGACACGGCCCAGACUCCUACGGGAGGCAGCAGUGGGGAAUAUUGCACAAUGGGCGGAAGCCUGAUGCAGCGACGCCGCGUGAGGGAUGACGGCCUUCGGGUUGUAAACCUCUUUCAGUAGGGAAGAAGCGAGAGUGACGGUACCUGCAGAAGAAGCGCCGGCUAACUACGUGCCAGCAGCCGCGGUAAUACGUAGGGCGCAAGCGUUGUCCGGAAUUAUUGGGCGUAAAGAGCUCGUAGGCGGUUUGUCGCGUCUGCUGUGAAAGCCCGGGGCUCAACCCCGGGUCUGCAGUGGGUACGGGCAGACUAGAGUGCAGUAGGGGAGACUGGAAUUCCUGGUGUAGCGGUGAAAUGCGCAGAUAUCAGGAGGAACACCGAUGGCGAAGGCAGGUCUCUGGGCUGUUACUGACGCUGAGGAGCGAAAGCAUGGGGAGCGAACAGGAUUAGAUACCCUGGUAGUCCAUGCCGUAAACGUUGGGCACUAGGUGUGGGGGACAUUCCACGUUUUCCGCGCCGUAGCUAACGCAUUAAGUGCCCCGCCUGGGGAGUACGGCCGCAAGGCUAAAACUCAAAGGAAUUGACGGGGGCCCGCACAAGCGGCGGAGCAUGCGGAUUAAUUCGAUGCAACGCGAAGAACCUUACCAAGGCUUGACAUUCACCGGACCGCCCCAGAGAUGGGGUUUCCCUUCGGGGCUGGUGGACAGGUGGUGCAUGGUUGUCGUCAGCUCGUGUCGUGAGAUGUUGGGUUAAGUCCCGCAACGAGCCGCAACCCUCGUUCUAUGUUGCCAGCCACGUGAUGGUGGGGACUCAUAGGAGACUGCCGGGGUCAACUCGGAGGAAGGUGGGGAUGACGUCAAAUCAUCAUGCCCCUUAUGUCUUGGGCUUCACGCAUGCUACAAUGGCCGGUACAAAGGGUUGCGAUACUGUGAGGUGGAGCUAAUCCCAAAAAGCCGGUCUCAGUUCGGAUUGAGGUCUGCAACUCGACCUCAUGAAGUCGGAGUCGCUAGUAAUCGCAGAUCAGCAACGCUGCGGUGAAUACGUUCCCGGGCCUUGUACACACCGCCCGUCAAGUCACGAAAGUUGGUAACACCCGAAGCC
rnacentral:rRNA from 1 species